UACGAAGGGUCCAAGCGUUAUCCGGAUUUAUUGGGUUUAAAGGGUGCGUAGGCGGCUUAUUAAGUCAGUGGUGAAAGACUUCAGCUUAACUGAAGAACUGCCAUUGAUACUGCUGAGCUUGAAUGUAGUUGAGGUGGGCGGAAUGUGUCAUGUAGCGGUGAAAUGCUUAGAUAUGACACAGAACACCGAUUGCGAAGGCAGCUCGCUAAACUAUGAUUGACGCUGAUGCACGAAAGCGUGGGGAGCAAACAGG
rnacentral:rRNA from 1 species